UACGUAGGGUGCAAGCGUUUGUCCGGAAUUAUUGGGCGUAAAGAGCUCGUAGGCGGUCUGUCGCGUCGGCUGUGAAAACUCGGGGCUCAACUCCGAGCUUGCAGUCGAUACGGGCAGGCUAGAGUUCGGCAGGGGGAGACUGGAAUUCCUGGUGUAGCGGUGAAAUGCGCAGAUAUCAGGAGGAACACCGGUGGCGAAGGCGGGUCUCUGGGCCGAUACUGACGCUGAGGAGCGAAAGCGUGGGGAGCGAACAGG
rnacentral:rRNA from 1 species